GGUCUAGUAACUUAAAC
rnacentral:tRNA from 1 species